rnacentral:rRNA from 1 species
GACGUAGGGGGCCAGCGUUGCUCGGAAUUACUGGGCGUAAAGGGUUCGUAGGCGGUGCGGCAAGUCGGAAGUGAAAUCUCUGGGCUCAACUCAGAGGCUGCUCCCGAAACUGCCGUGCUAGAGUGCGGGAGAGGCGAGUGGAAUUACAGGUGUAGCGGUGAAAUGCGUAGAUAUCAGGAGGAACACCUGCGGUGUAGACGGCUUUCUGGACCAUUGUUGACGCUGAGACACGAAAGCGUGGGUAGCAAACAGG